UUGCACGCUGGCGGCAGGCCUAACCCAUGCAAGUCGCGCGGAUGAAGGGAGCUUGCUCCUGGAUUCAGCGGCGGACGGGUGAGUAAUGCCUAGGAAUCUGCCUGGUAGUGGGGGAUAACGUCCGGAAACGGGCGCUAAUACCGCAUACGUCCUGAGGGAGAAAGUGGGGGAUCUUCGGACCUCACGCUAUCAGAUGAGCCUAGGUCGGAUUAGCUAGUUGGUGGGGUAAAGGCCUACCAAGGCGACGAUCCGUAACUGGUCUGAGAGGAUGAUCAGUCACACUGGAACUGAGACACGGUCCAGACUCCUACGGGAGGCAGCAGUGGGGAAUAUUGGACAAUGGGCGAAAGCCUGAUCCAGCCAUGCCGCGUGUGUGAAGAGGGUCUUCGGAUUGUAAAGCACUUUAAGUUGGGAGGAAGGGCAGUAAGUUAAUACCUUGCUGUUUUGACGUUACCAACAGAAUAAGCACCGGCUAACUUCGUG
rnacentral:rRNA from 1 species